GGGUUGUGAGGUUAAGCGACUAAGCGUACACGGUGGAUGCCCUGGCAGUCAGAGGCGAUGAAGGACGUGCUAAUCUGCGAUAAGCGUCGGUAAGGUGAUAUGAACCGUUAUAACCGGCGAUUUCCGAAUGGGGAAACCCAGUGUGUUUCGACACACUAUCAUUAACUGAAUCCAUAGGUUAAUGAGGCGAACCGGGAGAACUGAAACAUCUAAGUACCCCGAGGAAAAGAAAUCAACCGAGAUUCCCCCAGUAGCGGCGAGCGAACGGGGAGCAGCCCAGAGCCUGAAUCAGUGUGUGUGUUAGUGGAAGCGUCUGGAAAGGCGCGCGAUACAGGGUGACAGCCCCGUACACAAAAAUGCACAUAUUGUGAGCUCGAUGAGUAGGGCGGGACACGUGGUAUCCUGUCUGAAUAUGGGGGGACCAUCCUCCAAGGCUAAAUACUCCUGACUGACCGAUAGUGAACCAGUACCGUGAGGGAAAGGCGAAAAGAACCCCGGCGAGGGGAGUGAAAAAGAACCUGAAACCGUGUACGUACAAGCAGUGGGAGCACGCUUAGGCGUGUGACUGCGUACCUUUUGUAUAAUGGGUCAGCGACUUAUAUUCUGUAGCAAGGUUAACCGAAUAGGGGAGCCGAAGGGAAACCGAGUCUUAACUGGGCGUUAAGUUGCAGGGUAUAGACCCGAAACCCGGUGAUCUAGCCAUGGGCAGGUUGAAGGUUGGGUAACACUAACUGGAGGACCGAACCGACUAAUGUUGAAAAAUUAGCGGAUGACUUGUGGCUGGGGGUGAAAGGCCAAUCAAACCGGGAGAUAGCUGGUUCUCCCCGAAAGCUAUUUAGGUAGCGCCUCGUGAAUUCAUCUCCGGGGGUAGAGCACUGUUUCGGCAAGGGGGUCAUCCCGACUUACC
rnacentral:rRNA from 1 species